rnacentral:rRNA from 1 species
AGUCGAGCGACAGAUGAGAAGCUUGCUUCUCUGAUGUUAGCGGCGGACGGGUGAGUAACACGUGGGUAACCUACCUAUAAGACUGGGAUAACUCCGGGAAACCGGGGCUAAUACCGGAUAAUAUUUUGAACCGCAUGGUUCAAUAGUGAAAGACGGUUUCGGCUGUCACUUAUAGAUGGACCCGCGCCGUAUUAGCUAGUUGGUAAGGUAACGGCUUACCAAGGCGACGAUACGUAGCCGACCUGAGAGGGUGAUCGGCCACACUGGAACUGAGACACGGUCCAGACUCCUACGGGAGGCAGCAGUAGGGAAUCUUCCGCAAUGGGCGAAAGCCUGACGGAGCAACGCCGCGUGAGUGAUGAAGGUCUUCGGAUUGUAAAACUCUGUUGUUAGGGAAGAACAAAUUUGUUAGUAACUGAACAAGUCUUGACGGUACCUAACCAGAAAGCCACGGCUAACUACGUGCCAGCAGCCGCGGUAAUACGUAGGUGGCAAGCGUUAUCCGGAAUUAUUGGGCGUAAAGCGCGCGUAGGCGGUUUCUUAAGUCUGAUGUGAAAGCCCACGG